rnacentral:rRNA from 1 species
UACGAAGGGUGCAAACGUUGCUCGGAAUUAUUGGGCGUAAAGCGCACGUAGGCGGCAUUGCAAGUCGGAUGUGAAAUCCCUCGGCUUAACCAAGGAAGUGCAUCCGAAACUGCAGUGCUUGAGUACUUAAGAGGAUCGCGGAAUUCCCGGUGUAGAGGUGAAAUUCGUAGAUAUCGGGAGGAACACCAGAGGCGAAGGCGGCGCACUGGACCACUUCUGACGCUGAUGCACGAAAGCUAGGGGAGCAAACAGG